rnacentral:rRNA from 1 species
UACGAAGGGUGCAAGCGUUAUCCGGAUUCGCUGGGUUUAAAGGGUGCGUAGGCGGGUAAGUAAGUCCGUGGUGAAAUCUCUGAGCUUAACUCAGAAACUGCCGUGGAUACUAUUUGCCUUGAAUAUUGUGGAGGUGAGCGGAAUAUGUCAUGUAGCGGUGAAAUGCUUAGAUAUGACAUAGAACACCAAUUGCGAAGGCAGCUCACUACACAAUCAUUGACGCUGAGGCACGAAAGCGUGGGGAUCAAACAGG